GUUUGGUUCGAGUUAUGUAAUAUUACAAAGUAUCUCGACAUAUCCAGGUAUGUUGGAUUUCGGCGUGAGAUUACUACUAAUGCUGCAUUAGAGCGUUUGGUUUAAUACAGUAAUGUAAUACUAGAUUACAGUGUUUAUAGCAUUAAUAUGUUUGGUUUAGUUUAUAAAAUUUAGUAAUCAUGACAUAAAAGUAUAGUUUUUUUCCAAAAUUGCCCAUGUUGUAGUCAUUUGAAUAUUGUUUUUUGCGGAAAUGACGAAUGGAGGGAAGGAGAUCGUGAUAAUUACUUGGGAGGACGACGCAAUAGAAAAUGAUAGGUGUUCGUGCGAGAGAGAGAGAGAGAGAGACGUCGAGAGAGAGCGAGAGAAAGCGGCGUGCGAGAGAGAGGGCCGGGACGAAGGCGAGAGAGAGAUGAAAAUAAUACUGUUAAUUAGAUUUGGAAUUUUUGGAGGGUAAAAUUGUCAUUUUACAUAAUAUGUAGUAUUAACGGGUUUCAGUAAUGCAAGAUACACGACCCCCCUCCCGUUAAUAUUUUUGAUGUAAUCCUGCUCGAUUUGUAAUGCUACAUUAACGACCAGAUUACAUAGCGGAUUAACCAAACACAGUUAUCCUGGCAGGAUUGCCUGUAAUCCUGUCAGGAUAACUCGAACCAAACGCACCC
rnacentral:lncRNA from 1 species